rnacentral:sRNA from 12 species
ACCUUCCUGUAAGGGUAAAUGUGAUUCUUUGAUGAAAGCGACCGGACGCUGCUUGCAUGGACAGAUGAUACGUGCUCUCUCUGUUUUCAUGGUCGCAACUAUGUGGCUGCAACACGUUAUAGCCAUACGAAGGAUUUUUAUGACAAGUGAAGAAC